rnacentral:rRNA from 1 species
GAUGAACGCUGGCGGCGUGCCUAAUACAUGCAAGUCGAGCGAACGGACGAGAAGCUUGCUUCUCUGAUGUUAGCGGCGGACGGGUGAGUAACACGUGGAUAACCUACCUAUAAGACUGGGAUAACUUCGGGAAACCGGAGCUAAUACCGGAUAAUAUUUUGAACCGCAUGGUUCAAAAGUGAAAGACGGUCUUGCUGUCACUUAUAGAUGGAUCCGCGCUGCAUUAGCUAGUUGGUAAGGUAACGGCUUACCAAGGCAACGAUGCAUAGCCGACCUGAGAGGGUGAUCGGCCACACUGGAACGUAGACACGGUCCAGACUCCUACGGGAGGCAGCAGUAGGGAAUCUUCUGCAAUGGGCGAAAGCCUGACGGAGCAACGCCGCGUGAGUGAUGAAGGUCUUCGGAUCGUAAAACUCUGUUAUUAGUGAAGAACAUAUGUGUAAGUAACUGUGCACAUCUUGACGGUACCUAAUCAGAAAGCCACGGCUAACUACGUG